rnacentral:pre_miRNA from 1 species
UAAACUCAAUUUGGUAUAGAGUUGAAACGUUUGCCGCUAUGGGCGCUGUUCCAACUGCAUACAAAUUUAAGUUA